AAAGGCAUUGGAGAGCGUGGUGGCCAAGGUGAUGAGCGCCAACAAAGCAACCAGCAGGACUUUCCAGGGCAGGGCGAUGGAGUCCUGGUAAAUGUAGCCGUCGACGCUGCAGUUGUGGGAGAGGUGAAAUCGUCAGCAAAGCCUCCAGCACUGAACAACCUUUUCCUGUGUAGCCAUAGACCAUAGCCAGUCUCCUCUCCAACAGCCUCACUAUCUCUGAAAGUUGAAUUUCAAAGCAAAACUGCAAAACUUCAAGUAUCAUUUACAAGAAGGAUCUAUGCGAGGCACAAAGCAAAUCUCAAGCAACUGAAACUGACAGUUAAUCAAAAAAGAUGAUUAAGAAAAUAGCUGUAAUCAAAGGAAAUAACUUCUCUAUCAACAAUCAGCAUAGGCCACGACUGCAAGCUCCUGCUGCCUGCACUUCCUUGCCAUGAUGGACUGUACCUUGAAUCCUGUACUAAAAGAAACCUGUUCUUUCAUAAGUUGCUUUCGUCAGAGUAGAAUGCUCACAGCAACAGAAGAGAAACUAGGACAUCUUAUAAAGUUGCACUUCAUGAAUUGCCAGCACCCAAAUCUAACUCAACCCUCCCAAGUAUACAGAGCCAUGUUCUAUCUUGUCCUUGUCAAACACCCCUGUUUUCUCUCAGGUACUUAAAAAGGCUGAUGGCUGACACUUUGGCUACAAAAAUGUAUAACUACGUUGUCUUGAUCCAUUCUUCACUCGGUAGAUUAUUGCUUUGGAUCCUAAGUGCCAAUAUUUUUUUUUCUGUGUAUAUUAAAUGAAAAGGUCUAAAAUACUGGUGACUUCUCUUGUUAGAAAGGUUUACUUUUCUGUCAAAUGUGUACUUUAUUUUCAGUAUUAGAGUAUGCUUUUAUUAUGUCUAUUUUUUCUCUACUACUGCUUGACUAUAACAGACUAGUUAUGAGAAUUUGUCCUAAGGUAGUACAUUUUAAGAUUAAAACUUUGGGCUGUGGGGAGUUCUCAGAUCAUUGUCAGUUUGGUUCCAAAAGGAAUGUGAGACCCCAAUUCUCUUUUAUUCUUCUUUCUUCUUCUUAAUCAUGAGGUAAAGCAGUUUACCAUUUGUGCCAUCUUGGGCCUCUUGCAUCCUUAACUCCAGUCCAAAUAUAGGUUAAUGAAAUCUUAGAAUUUUCAAUCCAAAAGCAUGAGACAAAACACACCUUUCGUCUUCAUCGAUCAAUCAUUUAACAUUUUGGUUGUUAUAGUAAUAAGAAAGAACUAACAAAGACCUUUCAUGUCCUGAGAGAGGGAUCAUAUAUUUUAUUAAAUAUUUUAUGGUGCUAUUUUUAUUACGUUUGCAUUUUAAGUAUGAGUGUGCAUAGAAAAUUGGCAUUUAAUUGAAUAUGAUUUAUAAAUUUAAAAUUGCUGAGUAUUUUGAGCCAUAAAAAUUAUGCUGCAUUUGUUUU
rnacentral:lncRNA from 1 species